rnacentral:rRNA from 1 species
CUACGGGGGGCACCAGUGGGGGAUAUUGCACAAUGGGCGAAAGCCUGAUGCAGCAACGCCGCGUGAAGGAUGACGGAUGGGGGUCUGUAAACUUCUAUCAGCAGGGAAGAAAAUGGCGGUACCUGACUAAGAAGCCCCGGCUAACUACGUGCCAGCAGCCGCGGUAAUACGUAGGGGGUAAGCGUUAUCCGGAAUUACUGGGUGUAAAGGGUACGUAGGCGGCUGAUCAAGUCAGAUGUGAAAGCCCGGAGCUCAACUCCGGGAUUGCAUUUGAAACUGGUCGGCUAGAGUGCAGGAGAGGAAAGUGGAAUUCCUAGUGUAGCGGUGAAAUGCGUAGAUAUUAGGAAGAACACCAGUGGCGAAGGCGGCUUUCUGGACUGUAACUGACGCUGAGGUACGAAAGCGUGGGGAGCGAACAGGAUUAGAUACCCCGGUAGUC